GCCCUGCACUCUGGGAUAAGCCUGGGAAACUGGGUCUAAUACCGGAUAGGACCACACACUUCAUGGUGAGUGGUGCAAAGCUUUUGCGGUGUGGGAUGAGCCCGCGGCCUAUCAGCUUGUUGGUGGGGUAAUGGCCCACCAAGGCGACGACGGGUAGCCGGCCUGAGAGGGUGACCGGCCACACUGGGACUGAGAUACGGCCCAGACUCCUACGGGAGGCAGCAGUGGGGAAUAUUGCACAAUGGGCGCAAGCCUGAUGCAGCGACGCCGCGUGAGGGAUGACGGCCUUCGGGUUGUAAACCUCUUUCAGUAGGGACGAAGCGAAAGUGACGGUACCUACAGAAGAAGGACCGGCCAACUACGUGCCAGCAGCCGCGGUAAUACGUAGGGUCCGAGCGUUGUCCGGAAUUACUGGGCGUAAAGAGCUCGUAGGUGGUUUGUCGCGUUGUUCGUGAAAACUCACAGCUUAACUGUGGGCGUGCGGGCGAUACGGGCAGACUAGAGUACUGCAGGGGAGACUGGAAUUCCUGGUGUAGCGGUGGAAUGCGCAGAUAUCAGGAGGAACACCGGUGGCGAAGGCGGGUCUCUGGGCAGUAACUGACGCUGAGGA
rnacentral:rRNA from 1 species